UAUCUACGGGGCGCAGCAGUGGGGAAUAUUGCACAAUGGGGGAAACCCUGAUGCAGCAACGCCGCGUGGGUGAAGGAGCGUUUCGGCGCGUAAAGCCCUGUCAGCGGGGAAGAAGAAAGACGGUACCCGACCAAGAAGCCCCGGCUAACUACGUGCCAGCAGCCGCGGUAAUACGUAGGGGGCGAGCGUUAUCCGGAAUUACUGGGUGUAAAGGGAGCGUAGGUGGCGUGGUAAGCCAGAAGUGAAAACCCGGGGCUCAACCCCGCGGAUUGCUUUUGGAACUAUCAGGCUGGAGUGCUGGAGGG
rnacentral:rRNA from 1 species